rnacentral:rRNA from 1 species
GAUGAACGCUGGCGGCGUGCCUAAUACAUGCAAGUCGAGCGAACGGACGAGGAGCUUGCUUCUCUGAGGUUAGCGGCGGACGGGUGAGUAACACGUGGAUAACCUACCUAUAAGACUGGGAUAACUUCGGGAAACCGGAGCUAAUACCGGAUAAUAUUUUGAACCGCAUGGUUCAAAAGUGAAAGACGGUCUUGCUGUCACUUAUAGAUGGAUCCGCGCUGCAUUAGCUAGUUGGUAAGGUAACGGCUUACCAAGGCAACGAUGCAUAGCCGACCUGAGAGGGUGAUCGGCCACACUGGCACUGAGACACGGUCCAGACUCCUACGGGAGGAAGCAGUAGGGAAUCUUACGCAAGGGGCGAAAGCCUGACGGAGCAACGCCGCGUGAGUGCUGAAGGUGUUCGGAUCGUAAAACUCUGUUAUUAGGGAAGAACAAAUGUGUAAGUACCUGUGCACAUCUUGACGGUACCUAAUCAGAAAGCCACGGCUAACUACGUG